GUUCCUGUUCACACUUAGAUUAUGUCACGAUUCCCCCUUGAAGCAGCGUGCUCUAAGCGCAAAUGCGCGAGCACCUGCUUUUCCGCUGUCGACCGUAGUGACAUUGGGACACGUGUGUUUUGUUUAUGUUUGUCAUGUCUCCUCCCUGUUCCGUCAUUGGCUGGGAAUUCACGUGGGUCUGUAUUGCUCCCAGCUGAUAGCAGUUUACACGCUAAUCAUGUCCGCAUAUAUACCGCGCGCUUCCCAGCACACAACGCGGAAGAUUGAGAAGUCGUAAAUAGUUUUACCUUCCUCAACAGAGACUUCAUCUCUACUGACCAAGCGGCCGGGAAGCAGGGAUGGACUUUAUGGAAGGACUGCAGGAUCUCUGCGGUGGGCGUGCUGGCGCGCAUUAUAUACGGCCUCUGGAAAAUACGUCAGCGUGAGAAAGGGCAGAAGAGCUGAAAGUGGCUAAAGCACGUAAUGGGGGAAGAAAAGGAGAACCAGUCACCUUGGGAAGGAACUAGAGCGACCCUGAUUUAUGCGAAAAAUCAGGCCAGGGCCGAUUCAGAGUUCAGAGCCUGAGGGACAAACUACAGAGAGAGAAAAAAACAGAGAGAAAGAGGUUGAAUUGAAAGAGAGAGCACGAGAGAGAGAUAGCGAGAGAGAGCGAGAGAGAGAGACUCCUGAGUGGCUCAGACAGCUGAAUGUUCCCCCUAUGGUCAGAAGAUUGAUGGCUGUGGUGUUAUAACGGAGGGUGGGGACCAGCAACGACUAAACGACUAAACGACUAAAGAGAAAUGGGGAUAAACAUGGGGAGAGGCAAAGAAGUAGUGAUAGUGUGACUAAAAUAAGAAUAAGGGUUUGGAAAUGAUUGUUGAAAGACGUAGUAAAAUCCAUGCUCUGAGGAAGAACUAACCGUUUUAAUAGCUGUGUUAAGGAACGCUGACUAAACAUCUGCUGCAUGUACAAGCUGAAGGAAAGGAAGUUGGAUGAUAAAUUUCUUAUGAUCUUUAUGCCUCGUUGAAAUGAGCACUGACAUGAGAGAGAGAGAUGAACAGGGACCGAGCCAAGCUGUAUCUAACAUUAUGAAGUGAAUGCUUUAUAAAUACAGUAAGGUAUUUUAGUGUCACGACUCACCGUGUUCAUCCAGUAAGAUGUUAUCAGGCUUGAUGUCUCUGUUCCAACAACAACAAAAAGAAAAUGUCAGUUCCAAAAAGUCACAAGGUGUUUGCAGCUGAUAAAUAUAGCCUGGAUGACCAGAUUUCUUAGUUGCAUGAUAAGACGUUCAUUCCUGAAGUGUUUGAUUCCUCUUAUACC